AUUGAACGCUGGCGGCAGGCCUAACACAUGCAAGUCGAGCGGAGCGGCGGACGGGUGAGUAAUGACUAGGAAUGUGACUGGUAGCGGGGGAUAACGUCAGGAAACGGGAGCUAAUACCGCAUACUAUCAGAUGAGCCUAGGUAGGAUUAGCUAGUUGGUGGGGUAAAGGCCUAGAAAGGGGACGAUCCGUAACUGGUCUGAGAGGAUGAUCAGUCACACUGGAACGGAGACACGGUCCAGACUCCUACGGGAGGCAGAAGUGGGGAAUAUUGGACAUGGGGCGAAAUCUGAAUCCAGCCAUGCCGCGUGGGGGAAGAAGGUCUUCGGAUUGUAAAGCACUUUAAGUUGGGAGGCGUUACCUACAGAAUAAGCACCGGCUAACUUCGUGCCAGCAGCCGCGGUAAUAC
rnacentral:rRNA from 1 species